AGGGGGCUCAGUCUAGGUUAGCACUUGGGUUAGACGGCAGCUGAUCUUGGUUACAGUCAAAGGGUCUUGGCCAGAGCCUCUCGCGUCCUCUCCCCUGUGUGCAUGGGGCAGCUGGAAGGGCCGCCCCUGGGGCACGUCACCUGCUGGGCUCCAACCCCGCCCCCCUCGGGUUCUAGUGAGGCGCUCCGCACCUGCUGUGAGGCAUCCAUGUCAACGAGGUCAUCCUUCUCCAAGACUGGCUCGCUGUCCGGGGACGAGGCCUCGGCCGGGAUGACCACCACGGGGCUAAUGUGUUCUGACAGGGCAGAGGCUCGCAGGAAGUUGGGUGGGUUCUGAAGAGGGAAGACACGCCCCCGAACCGCGUCACCCACCAGGCCUGCCGGUCUCUACGAGCACCCUGGACCAGGCAGCUCCCACGGCCAGGGGGCCGGGCACGCUUACCUCCGGCAGCUGAGGGAUCUGAAUGAGCCGCUUGAAAUACUGGAGGUUGCUUGAGCGGUAGAACAGAUCUUUCAACCUGGAGGGUGGAGAAGGGCCUCAGGGGUGCUGGGCGCCUUCCCCAGCCCCGGGUUGGGGACACUGCAGCCACCCAGGUCUCCGGCUGCCCACCCAGCCCAAAGGCGUGGGCUGUCAAGGAGACGGCUUCCAUGGCGCUGGGCUUCAAUUAUGAUGCUACAGGGGGAAGGUCAUUUGUAGCCAGUCCUCACAGGAGACAGGGAUUCAAAUGACCGAAUCCUCUGGAGGAGUGGAUCAUCCCAGAACAAGAUCUGUAUCACCACAGAAUCUACACUGUUGUCUGGCUGAUGUCUCUUCCCAAGAAUGUUCGGCUUAGAAUAACACGAAAAUAAAUUUACUCUCUCUGAGGAUAAACCACCUAACCAUAAGAAAAGGGAAGGGAACUUAAUUACUAAGGUCUCUGUUUUCAAUCGAAACAUGGAAGGCCCAGAAAGCAGAGGGCACCAGACAGAUUUCCUGAGAGGAAAGAGCAUCGUGGGUCUCAGCACCCUCUCUCUGCAACCUCUCUCAGAAUCUCCUUCAGCUCAGCCCAAUAAACUAAACCCCUGGGAUCUCAUGUCAGCCAUUCUGAUCCCAAGGCUGGAACUGCCCCUGUGAUGUCAUUGGUGCUUUCCCCAAAGUCGUCGACACUGAGGCCUCUGGGAGCUGCCAGCCACUUACUUUGAGAACUGCUCCAUGAAGCGGUCCCGGUGGCCUUGCAGGGUGUCAGCUGGGAGACCUGGAAGAUAUUGGAAUAGAGUGAGAGGGAAGAGGACCACAGGAGGACCAGUGCAAGCCAUUCUGGGCACAGUGGGCUGGAAGUUGUGUCCCUGACCACAGAGGCGACCGUGGUUGACCUGACCAAGCUGCGGGACGGAAGGGAUCCAGAGAGCCUGCCUGAGAGGUUGGCUGUGCGAAGGCAAAGAUUGCGGACAACACUCAGGAUCUCAGUCCGGUGCUCGUUCGGCCCUGCCACUGCACGAUGCUGGAUGAGUGGCAGCAUCUAAGCGCCAGCCUCCGCCCCUACAGAGCGGGCUCUCUGAGGUCCUUUCUGCUCCCAGAUAAUGUCACUCUGUGUACUUCAACUACAGAUCACAGCUCAGCGAUCCUUUCAGUUCUUGCUUUAUUCCUUAAAUUUACAUUUUAGUAAUUUUUGGGUAGGUGAUGUUUGGUAUAAAUAGGGAGCACAUGCAAAAUGUAUGAGAAUUCAGAAUGCCAAGUAUAUACGGUGGAUGACGAUGGCACUGUACCUCCGUGAUCUCUCUCCCAAGAACCCUUAGCCCCAGUCGUGAGAAAAACAGCAGACAGACUUAAAUUGAGGAACAUUCUACAAGUGUCUGACCGAUUCUCCCCUAAACUGUCAAGGUCACAAGUCUGAGACACUGUCACGGCCAAGAAGGAGCCUAGGGGGACACAAAGACUAAAUGUAAUGUGGCGUCCUGGAUGGCACAUUAGGUAAAAACUGGGGAAAUCUGAACAAAAUCUGGACUUCAG